rnacentral:rRNA from 1 species
ACAUUAGCAUGGGAUAAUGGAAUAGGACCCUGUCCUCCUAUUUUCAGUUGGUUUUGGCAGCGCGAGGACUAGGGUAAUGAUUAAUAGGGAUAGUUGGGGGCAUUAAUAUUUAAUUGUCAGAGGUGAAAUUCUUGGAUUUAUGAAAGAUUAACUUCUGCGAAAGCAUCUGCCAAGGAUGUUUUCAUUAAUCAAGAACGAAAGUUAGGGGAUCGAAGACGAUCAGAUACCGUCGUAGUCUUAACCAUAAACGAUGCCGACCAGCGAUUAGGAGACGUUGAAUACAAAACACCACCAUCGGUGCGGUCGUCCUUGGCGUCGGUCUUUCGGGGCCGGCGCGGGGACGGCUUAGCCCGGUGGCACCGGUGAAUGACUCCCCUAGCAGCUU